rnacentral:rRNA from 1 species
GUGGGGAAUCUUGCGCAAUGGGCGAAAGCCUGACGCAGCCAUGCCGCGUGAAUGAUGAAGGUCUUAGGAUUGUAAAAUCCUUUCACCGGUGAAGAUAAUGACUGUAGCCGGAGAAGAAGCCCCGGCUAACUUCGUGCCAGCAGCCGCGGUAAUACGAAGGGGGCUAGCGUUGCUCGGAUUUACUGGGCGUAAAGGGCGCGUAGGCGGACAUUUAAGUCAGGGGUGAAAUCCCGGGGCUCAACCUCGGAACUGCCUUUGAUACUGGGUGUCUUGAGUAUGAGAGAGGUGUGUGGAACUCCGAGUGUAGAGGUGAAAUUCGUAGAUAUUCGGAAGAACACCAGUGGCGAAGGCGACACACUGGCUCAUUACUGACGCUGAGGCGCGAAAGCGUGGGGAGCAAACAGGAUUAGAAACCCGGGUAGUCC